GUGAGGAAUUUUCCGCAAUGGGCGAAAGCCUGACGGAGCAAUGCCGCGUGAAGGAUGAAGGCCUAUGGGUUGUAAACUUCUUUUCUCAGAAAAGAAUUAUGACGGUAUCUGAGGAAUAAGCAUCGGCUAACUCUGUGCCAGCAGCCGCGGUAAGACAGAGGAUGCAAGCGUUAUCCGGAAUGAUUGGGCGUAAAGCGUCUGUAGGUUGUUUAAAAAGUAUUCUGUCAAAGAUUAGGGCUUAACCCUAGAUAGGCAGAAUAAACUUUUAAGCUAGAGUUUGGUAGAGUCAGAGGGAAUUCCCGGUGGAGCGGUGAAAUGCGUAGAUAUCGGGAGGAACACCAAAGGCGAAGGCACUCUGCUGGGCCAAUACUAACACUGAGAGACGAAAGCGAGGGGAGCAAAUGGGAUUAGAUACCCGAGUAGUCC
rnacentral:rRNA from 1 species